UACGGAGGGUGCAAGCGUUAUCCGGAUUCACUGGGUUUAAAGGGUGCGUAGGUGGGCAAGUAAGUCAGUGGUGAAAUCUCCGGGCUUAACACGGAAACUGCCAUUGAUACUAUUUGUCUUGAAUACUGUGGAGGUCAGCGGAAUAUGUCAUGUAGCGGUGAAAUGCAUAGAUAUGACACAGAACACCGAUUGCGAAGGCAGCUGACGAAACUGUAACUGACGCUGAGGCUCGAAAGCGUGGGGAUCAAACAGG
rnacentral:rRNA from 1 species